rnacentral:lncRNA from 1 species
AUGUGUCCGUUUAUUGUUCUAUUGCCCUGUCCCGGGGGCCUAGUAGAGCGCUCAGCAUCCGGUAAGCGCUCAAUAAAUAUGUUUGAAUUGAAAAGAGGAGACAGUGAGGUGGGAUGGGGUGGGCGUCCGUGUAUUGACCUGGGUGUUGUGGGGAGGAUCAGUCGGGCGGGUCGAGCCAGAAGAAGAGGCCCGGCAGGAGGAGGAGGAGGAGGAGGGACGUCCUCGGGCGGCACUGUGUUCCCGUCUUCGACAGCGGAGCGGAAGCAGGAGGAGGGUCAAGGGCGGACCGAGCGGGGCCGGGGUCCGCUGAAGCCGCCACUCCCCCAGGCGCACGGCCGUGGUGGUGGUCACCCCCAAAUCCCUCCACGCUGCGUCCACCCAGGCCCAGGACCGAGUCCACCGCUAUAUGGGGGUGGGGUCCCCUUGCCCCAUGGGCGCACACGGGGUCGGUUGUUGUCUUCUGGGGAGGGGGCUUGUGAGGUGCUUCUCUCUAGGAAUCCAAGCCCUGGGGGGUCCCAGGACAUCCCAGGUCCAGGGGUUCUCACUCCAGGGGUCCCAGCCCAGGUGGGGAGGGGGGUCUCGGUUCUUUUCUUGGGGUCCCGGCCCGCGAGGGGCUCAAGUCCUUUCUGGGAAUCCCGGCCUGCGGGGGUAAGGGGGCAUCUCGACUCUCCUCUGCUCUUCUCCAGGGGUCCCAGUCACGGGGGUCUCGAGAAACAGCACGCGCGCAGUGGAUAGAGCACAGGCCUGAGGAGGUCAUGGGUUCUAAUCCCCACUCUGCCACUUGUCUGCUGUGUGAUCUUAGGCAAGUCACUUCAUUUCUCUGUGCCUCAGUUACCUCAUCUGUAAAAUGGGGAUGAAGACUGUGAGCCUCACGCGGGACAACCUGAUUUUACCCUGUAUCUACCCCAGCGCUUAGAACAGUGUUCUGCACAUAGUAAGCGCUUAACAAAUACCAUCGUUAUUAUUAUUACCUCAUCUGUAAAAUGGGGAUUGAGACAGGGAGCCCCAUGUGGGAGAGGGACCGUUUCCAACCUGAGGGUCUUGUAUCUACCCCAGCAAUUAGAACUGUGCUUGGCACAUAGUAAGCCCUUAACAAAUACUGUAGUGAUUAUUAUUAUUAUUAAUAAUAAUAAUAAUUAUUAUUAGAGGAUCUUGGUUCUUCUCCGGGGCUCUCCUCCGGGGAUCCCCCUCCUCCCCCGUCCCCCGGACGUAAUGCUCAUCCUGCGGUCAGGCCAGGCCGUGGGUCACGGGAGGAGAGACCUUACCUCUGUCCACGCUGGAGAUCGGGGUCGCUCAAUAGAGAUCAGGUCGGAAGGUCCAGGGAGGCCGGGAGCCCCUCACCCAUUCCUCCGGGGUCCCCUGGCCACCCCAAGCCACACGCCAGUGGUGAUCGUUCUCUCCUAAGCGUUUAGUACAGUGCUGGGCACGCAGUAAAUUCCGGCGAUUGAUUAAUUCUGGAUCUGGAUCCUCCUUUCUGGUCACUGCCUCCUCCGGGCCCCGAUCAGGCCUCCCCUCUGGAUCCAGGACUCCGAAUAAUAGUAAUCAUAAUAAUGAUGGUAUUUGUUAAGCGCUUACUGUGUGCCAAGCAUAGUUCUAAGCUUUAGGGGAGAUACAAGGUAAUCAGGUUGUCCCACCUGGGGCUCACGGUCUUCAUCCCCGUUUUACAGAUGAGGUAACUGAGGCACAGAGAAGUGAAUCGGCCGGCCCAAGGUCACGCGGCAGACAAGGAGCAGAGGAGGGAUUAGAACCCAGGUCCUCUGACUCCCGGCACUACGCCACGCUGUACCGGCCCCGGCCGCCCCCUGGAACCGGACCCAGAGGGAAGGGGUGGCUGGGCGGGCCGGGGGGCAGCCCGCCCGAGGUCUAACCGGUGCCGGAUUUCGGCUCAGGCCCCAGCCCCGCUCCGCCUCGCCCUGCCGAUGGAGGCAGGGGGGCAGGGGGCUGCUUCUAAAGACCCCCGGGCUGGGCCUUGUUGGACCCAACCAGGUGCCUUGGGGCGAUGGUCAAGAUCAUUAAUGAAAUCGAGGCACUUCACGUAAUAAUAGCGAUGCCCUCCCUCCUCAAAUCCGCAAUCACCCUCCCCCCGUUUCAAAGCCCUACUGAAGGCUCACCUCCUCCAGGUGGCCUUCCCAGAUCGAACCCUCCCUUUCCCUCUGCUCCUCUUCCCCUCCUCAUCUCCCGGACUCCUUCCCUCUGCUCUACCCGCCUCCCCGCCCCGCAGCACUUGUGUAUAUCUGUACGUAGCUAUAAUUCUAUUUAUUUAUUUAUAUUGAUGCCCGUUGAUCGGUUUGGAUGUGUGACCGCGAGCCGUGGUGGGCAGGGAUUCUCUCCCUUUUUUGCUCUAUUGUACUUUCCCAGCGCUUAUAACAGCGCCCGGCCCACAGAGAGGGCUCAAUAAAUCCGACUGACUGGACGAUUACCGAUUGUAUUUGUUAAGCACUUACCAUGUACCCGGCACUGUUCUAAACGCUGGGGUAGACACAAGCUAAUCAGGUUGGAUACAAGUCCCUGUUCCGCUUGGGGCUCACGGUCUUCAUCCCCAUUUUACAGAGGAGGUCACCGAGGCACAGAAAAGUUUAGUGGCUUGCCCCAAGUCACCCAGGCAGACAAGUGGCGGAGGCGGGAUCGGCGCCUCGGUGACCUCGUCUGUAAAAUGGGCAUGAAGACGGUGAAGCACCCUGUGGGACCCGGCCCGUGUCCGUCGUGUUUAGCCUCCGUCUCGCCCGGCGCUUACCCAAGGGCCUGGCAACGUAGUAAGCGCUCAACAAAUACCAUUUUAAAAAUGCGGAGAGGAAGAGGGUCAGGGCAAUGUCGGUGUCCCGCUCUAGACCGUCAGCUCGUCGUGGGCAGGGAAAGCGACAAUCGUCGGAUUGUCCUCUCCCCAGCGCUUGGCCCAGUGCUCCGCACAGAGCGAGCGCUGCCGAAAUACGAUUGAAUGGACGGGUAAGGCCGAAGCUGAGCCUGACCACAGGCCCCAAGACCACCCGGGGGUGGGGGGUCCUAUUGGCGCGACCCUCGGGGUCUCCCCUCCCUGGAGGUGGCAUCUGGGUAGAGGGUGGGGGUCUGCUUCUAUCGUCCUUCCAAGUUUUCCAGGGGUCCCUCCUCGGCCCCCAGACCCCCUUUCC